AAAAAAAAUUUAAUACACCCCCCAUCUCCCACCUUCUCUGAAUCAUUGAUGCAGAUCGUUUCCUCAUCACUUAGAUGCACUCCUUGUUUGCUUCUGUCAUAUCAUUAACCCAAACCCUGUCACCCAUCCACAUUCGGUUAUUCCCUUUGUAACAAAAAUCAUUGCUUCAAGAAUUAUAGCCAGACAAAUGUAGUCAACUUAUUACUUUUCACACAGUCGCCAACACGUCUGUGGUCACAUGCCUUCAAAGAAAUGGAAGUUUUGGAAUCUUUAUUUAUAAAUAUUUCAUUAAUAUUCUCUUUAAAUUUUUAAUCACAGAUUUUCUUUAUAAAAAUAGUUUUAUCGGUGUAAAACAGGAAAUUAUUAGUAAUUUGUUGCCAUAGUUACAUAUAUGUAUAGAGAGAAAUAUGAAAAAAAAAUCGACAAACUGCUUCAUUUUUUGGUCAAGUUACAGAAAUUUCUUAUUUAUCUGUUGAUUAACUACAUUUGCUGCUUUGAAAAAUAACUGUUUGGUAAACUGUCCCCAGAUGGAAGCUUUGGUAGUUCUUUCAAUCUCCAAUCUAGACCCCUCUUAUUCCCUCUCUAACUGCAUUAACUGACCAAAUGCUUGGUUGUUAGCAGUCAUAUCACAGUUCCAGUAACUAAAUUUUACAUUCAGCUACAUUGGUACUGUUAAACAUGGAAAUGGACAAGAAAAAGCAAAAUGAGAUGGUAAAAUUUGACUGGAUUUUAAUGUUUGGUAAGAUUCCCUGCCCAUAACUAACACCCACCUCUAGAGGUAUGGUACACCAAUCUGAACUAGGAGAGUUACAGUAACCUAAGGUUACUCCCAAUGAAAUAUAUCUGUAUCUCAUCAAAUAUUUCUUAAUUUGUGUAUAUAUGUUGAUGUGUGUGUGUGUGUGUGUGAGAUAAACAGAGAUUACAUAUCUGAACUGUGGUUCCAUAUGAUCUGCAACCCUUCAUUGACCAACUGUACAUGUUUAGCAGGUUGGAAAGGAAAAGUCGUAGUGAUGUAUUUGGCAUGGAUUAUCAACUGGUGUGUAUUGUGGGGGGGUGGAGUUGGGAUAUGUAAUUCUUAUGAUCUGAAAUAAUUAACAUAUAUCCAACUCUAAAGACUCUCAACAUUGAGUUGAAGACUGUACCACAAAAUGUACAAAAAAUUAGUGUGUGAUACAUGUAUAUUUGUUUGUUCAUUUUGCACCCAUUUUUCCAUGCUUGCAUGGGUUGGACAAAUAAGUUGUGAUAUUGUUUUACAGCUGUAUGUCCUUCUUGACACUAACUCUUACCUAUUUCUCAAGUAAGGGAUUACUUAUUCUACACAACUUCGAAAGCACAAAGUGCUUGAGUGAUUUGUUGACCACAGUCAACAACACUAUACCACACUUUAAUACAAGCAAUUGCAAGUAUAAACAAACACUGAGAGACAUAGACAUAUACAUUUACAACAGUCUUUCACUUCCUGAAUACCAUAUCCACUCGCAAGAUUUUGGUCAAAUGGAGUUAAUAAUAAAUGACACUUGAUGAAGGUGCCAUGUAGUGGGAUUGAACCCAAAAGCACACAGCCAGGCCUGCACCUAUAGCCAUAAUUAUAUAUAUAUACACAACUUCCAUAUACAGAACCAUGCUAUGUUAGUUAAUAUAGUUAUAUAUAUGUUCACAUUUACAUUGAUAUACAUCAAUGUAUAUUGAUGUGUCAAAUUGUGCAUAUGUACAUUUUGUCAUAAUCAUUACUUAGGCUUAUAGGCCUUGGUUUUCUUCUCUGAUUUGCAAGUUAACAAAGAAAACAUUGUUAGUUUAUCCACUUUUCCAUAAUUAGUGCCCUGGGUUGGGCCACACAGAACAGACACAGUCUCACAUAAUUGGUCCAAAUGUUUUAUGGGUCUCUAUCCAGCUGUCUGUUUAUUCUAUAGUUAAAAUGUUUUACAUAUAAAUUUUAUAGAAGACAUUUACUAGUAUUGGCUUAAGAAAGAGAAUGAAUCCUAUAACUCCUGGGAACCAUGCAAAUAUCACUUACCAAGUGAUCAUGACUCCCAUAAUGAAAUCUUUCUCUUUAGUCACUCUUGUGAAUGUAUUACAUGUGUAUGUACAUAUACAUAUCACACACAUAUCUAUGUAAUGUGUAUAACUAAUAUAUAUAUAUAUAACAUACAUGACAAAGAGCACUAAAUACUGGUGGGUAGAGUGUGAGUAAUUAUUAUUCAAAUUAGUCAGCACCCCCAUUUAAAACCUUGGGGUUCUUGCUGGUAGAGUUUACUGCAUUCAUCGGGUGUAAAGGGGAUUGAGUGUCAGGCAGAACACAAUAGGUUUCAGAUGAGGUGCUGACUAAUUUAAAUAAUAAAGAAUUAUAUUUCUGUGUGUAUAUGUACACAUAUGUGUGUGUAUAUAUAUAUAUAUAUAUAUAUAUAUAUAUAUAUAUAUAUAU